rnacentral:rRNA from 1 species
GACGAACGCUGGCGGCGUGCUUAACACAUGCAAGUCGAACGGAAAGGCCCUGCUUUUGUGGGGUGCUCGAGUGGCGAACGGGUGAGUAACACGUGAGUAACCUGCCCUUGACUUUGGGAUAACUUCAGGAAACUGGGGCUAAUACCGGAUAGGAGCUCCUGCUGCAUGGUGGGGGUUGGAAAGUUUCGGCGGUUGGGGAUGGACUCGCGGCUUAUCAGCUUGUUGGUGGGGUAGUGGCUUACCAAGGCUUUGACGGGUAGCCGGCCUGAGAGGGUGACCGGCCACAUUGGGACUGAGAGACGGCCCAGACGCCUACGGGAGGCAGCAGUGGGGAAUAUUGCACAAUGGGAGGAAGCCUGAUGCAGCAACGCCGCGUGCGGGAUGACGGCCUUCGGGUUGUAAACCGCUUUCGCCUGUGACGAAGCGUGAGUGACGGUAAUGGGUAAAGAAGCACCGGCUAACUACGUG